rnacentral:rRNA from 1 species
CUCCGCCAGAAAAUUACGGGCGAAAGCCUGAAACUCAAAAGACUUGACGGUGUUCCAACCUACCUAGAGGAGCCUGUUCCAUAAUCGACAAUCCACGAUAAACCUAACCAUCCUUAGUAAACCACUCAGCCUAUAUACCGCCGUCGUCAGCCUGCCCUUUAAAAGAAUAAAAGCAAGCCAAAAAGUAUUUUACUAACAAGUCAGGUCAAGGUGUAGCACAUAGAAUGGAGGAGAUGGGCUACAUUAUUUAAACUAAUUUAUCACGAAUUCCUAAUGAAAACUCAAAUGAAGGCGGAUUUAGCAGUAAUUUAAACGAGAAUAUUUAAAUUAA